rnacentral:rRNA from 1 species
AUUGAACGCUGGCGGCAUGCCUUACACAUGCAAGUCGAACGGCAGCGCGGGGCAACCUGGCGGCGAGUGGCGAACGGGUGAGUAAUAUAUCGGAACGUACCCUGGAGUGGGGGAUAACGUAGCGAAAGUUACGCUAAUACCGCAUACGAUCUAAGGAUGAAAGUGGGGGCAUCGCAAGACCUCAUGCUCCUGGAGCGGCCGAUAUCUGAUUAGCUAGUUGGUGGGGUAAAGGCCUACCAAGGCAUCGAUCAGUAGCUGGUCUGAGAGGACGACCAGCCACACUGGAACUGAGACACGGUCCAGACUCCUACGGGAGGCAGCAGUGGGGAAUUUUGGACAAUGGGCGCAAGCCUGAUCCAGCAAUGCCGCGUGAGUGAAGAAGGCCUCGGGUUGUAAAGCUCUUUUGUCAGGGAAAGAAAACGGUGAGGGCUAAUAUCCCUUGCUAAUGACGGUACCUGAAGAAUAAGCACCGGCUAACUACGUGCCAGCAGCCGCGGUAAUACGUAGGGUGCAAGCGUUAAUCGGAAUUACUGGGCGUAAAGCGUGCGCAGGCGGUUUUGUAAGUCUGUCGUGAAAUCCCCGGGCUCAACCUGGGGAAUUGCGAUGGAGACUGCAAGGCUAGAAUCUGGCAGAGGGGGGUAGAAUUCCACGUGUAGCAGUGAAAAUGCGUAGAGAUGUGGAGGAACACCGAUGGCGAAGGCAGCCCCUGGGUCAAGAUUGACGCUCAUGCACGAAAGCGUGGGGAGCAAACAGGAUUAGAUACCCUGGUAGU